CAGGGAAUCUUCCACAAUGGACGCAAGUCUGAUGGAGCAACGCCGCGUGAGUGAAGAAGGGUUUCGGCUCGUAAAGCUCUGUUGUUAAAGAAGAACGUGGGUAAGAGUAACUGUUUACCCAGUGACGGUAUUUAACCAGAAAGCCCCGGCUAACUACGUGCCAG
rnacentral:rRNA from 1 species